AUUGAACGCUGGCGGCAUGCUUUACACAUGCAAGUCGAACGGUAACAGGGACUUCGGUCUGCUGACGAGUGGCGAACGGGUGAGUAACAUAUCGGAACGUGCCCAGUAAUGGGGGAUAGCUCGGCGAAAGCCGGAUUAAUACCGCAUACGCCCUGAGGGGGAAAGUGGGGGAUCUUCGGACCUCACGUUAUUGGAGCGGCCGAUAUCGGAUUAGCUAGUUGGUGGGGUAAAGGCCUACCAAGGCGACGAUCCGUAGCUGGUCUGAGAGGAUGAUCAGCCACACUGGGACUGAGACACGGCCCAGACUCCUACGGGAGGCAGCAGUGGGGAAUUUUGGACAAUGGGCGAAAGUCUGAUCCAGCCAUGCCGCGUGAGUGAAGAAGGCCUCGG
rnacentral:rRNA from 1 species